rnacentral:tRNA from 1 species
GUCACUUUGCCGGAGUGGUUAACGGGAUCGCCUGCUAUUAUUGGCUGCCAGCGGUUGUGCUUUGCACGCGAGUGUUCGAAUCGCUCAGGUGACG